GGCAAAGAUUUAGAGUUAUCCAGACCAUCCAAAUAAUUAGUCUAGUUGUAAAUGGUAAAUAUUUAUACAUUUUAUUACAUAAUAUUAUCUUAACCAUCCAAAAAAUGGUCCCAUGCAUGUACGACUGUUAAUAUAGCUUGUGUUAUAAAUAAUGGAAAACUCACAAAAGUUGGAUUUAAAAUCAUUAUCAUACCCAAAAGAGGAUUUCCAUGAGCGCCAUUUCAUCUUCCAUCCAAAAUCAUUUUCGAGCGCCAUUUCCAUCGAGCGUCGUUGCCGAGCAUUAUCUUCCAUCAAGCAUCGUUGCCGAGCAUCAUCUUCAAAUAGGUGAGCUUCUCUUUUCUCCACCCUCAAUCUUCAAUCUGGAUUUGAAAGACGAUGCUCUAAUGAAACACAUACAUCAUGAUGGCCCUCUGUAACUAGCUCCAUAAAAACAAUAGAUGUCCCUCCUACCUCAGCUAUAUCUGUAAAGUGCCCCAUUUCGAUGAAAUAUAUAGAGAAAUUCUCCAUUUAGCAUGACAUCAGACUCACCACUGCUCAAACAACCCUACCGCAUCUCCAAUCUGCCACUGCGAAUGCCAUCCUACGACACCCUGGCCCAGGCUUCUUCCUCUGCUGCGACACCCAUCCUGCCCUUGGCCGACAUCUUCCAAAAGGCAUUGUAAGGAAACGAAUAGACUUAAUUCAGUGCCUUUGGAGGAAAGUCAUGACAGCAGCUGGGUGCCAAUCUUUGUGAGGCAGUCGAACUUCAAACUUCCUGCAGAUUCUUCUGUGCCAAUCAUCAUGAUUGGUCCUGGCAUGGGAUUGGCACCCUUUGGAGGGUUCUUGCAGGUUUAUAACUCUGACAGAUUUGUGCGUGAAUCCCUGUGCCAGUGAGGUGAAUUUACUAAAGAAGUUGAAUGCUUGCCAUUUUCAGGAAAGACUUGCUCUGAAAGAAGCUGGAGCAGAACUGGGCCCCUCCAGCCUCUUCUUUGGCUGUAGGAACCGCAAAAUGGUAAUGAAUCUCUCAAAUCAUUUGUUUGUGGGAUUGGGGGACAACUGGGUUUUUUUAUGACCUCUACUGAGGCUACCCAUGGGAGUGCGAUUUUUAGUUACUUUCCCACAAAUGCUAGCAUGAGUUUGAUAUCAGGGCAGAUCAAUCUGGUGGACCCCCUAUAUAUGUUAUGGCCCAAUGACCAGGCUGAUCCAGUCAUUAGGGAAUUCACAACUGUAUGGUGAAUGUUGGCUGUUGGUUAAAUUCUUUUCAACUACCCACUUGUCAUACACGUGUGGCCCAUGUGAUGACCCCAUCAUUGUGAUUUUUGGGCCAUGAUGCAUAUACCAUGUAGGUUGUUGCUGAUUACCUGAUUCAGCCAUCAGAUGAUCCACAAGCAUAUAGUGAAUGUGGGUUGUUAAAUAAUAUUCUAACCAUUAACUCAUUUAUUGAAGUCAGACUUUACUGAAGAAUGUGAAUUUGGCAAAACCUAUGAACUUGUUAAAUUCAUGAAUCUACUUUACAUUUGGAUUUAAUAAAUUCCAAAGUCUACUUUAUAGGUAUUGUUAAAUAAUAUUCUAACCAUUAACUCA